UAGGGAAGUCUUCCACAAUGGGCGCAAGCCUGAUGGAGCAACACCGCGUGAGUGAAGAAGGGUUUCGGCUCGUAAAGCUCUGUUGUUAAAGAAGAACACGUAUGAGAGUAACUGUUCAUACGUUGACGGUAUUUAACCAGAAAGUCACGGCUAACUACGUGCCAC
rnacentral:rRNA from 1 species